rnacentral:pre_miRNA from 1 species
ACGUGGGGCGACGGGAGAUUUUGGGAGAUGGGAGACGCUGCAUCUCCCAUAUUUCCCAUGUCUCCCACCGCCCCGUUU